CUCAGCCACGACAGUCCAGCCACAUGUUGCUCUAUGUAGAUUCUGCAUGUGGUCUCUGAGCCUCCUCUGAGAACAACUUCUCAUGGUUAUUGCAACAGUAAUUUGUCCAGGUGCCACUGUGGCUCUUCAUUUUGAUUAUUCCAGAUAAGGACCAAGAGGGUUAGCUAUUUGACCCACAAAAUGGGAUUGUUGAAGAAAUGAAGUGAGCCCUCAUCACCUGUGUAAGUUGUCAGCACAGUGGGUAGCACAUGAUAAGUACCUAAAAAUGUUAGCUGUCUUUUUAUUUUUCAACAAACCCUGGGUCUGUCCCUGAGAAACUCAAGGCACUUAGACUUCCCAAGAGGGGGAAAACUGAUCCCCAGAACUAUCCAUGACUCCUCUGAAGAAACAAGACAACUUAGCAGUAGAAUGUUGCAUGACUCUCUCAAGAAUGGAAUCUGAGGCUACCGAUGUC